rnacentral:tRNA from 1 species
CCUGGCAGUCCAGUGGUUAGGAUUUGGCACUUUGAUUGCAUGGGUCCAGGUUCAAUCCCUGGGUCAGGA